GACGGGGACCCGCACAAGCGGUGGAGCAUGUGGUUUAAUUCGAAGCAACGCGAAGAACCUUACCAAGUCUUGACAUCCCUCUGACAGGUGUAGAGAUACAUCCUUCUUCGGACAGAGGAGACAGGUGGUGCAUGGUUGUCGUCAGCUCGUGUCGUGAGAUGUUGGGUUAAGUCCCGCAACGAGCGCAACCCUUAUGCUUAGUAGCCAGCGGUUCGGCCGGGCACUCUAAGCAGACUGCCAGGAAUAACCUGGAGGAAGGUGGGGAUGACGUCAAAUCAUCAUGCCCCUUAUGACUUGGGCUACACACGUGCUACAAUGGCGCCGACAAAGGGAAGCAAACCCGCGAGGGGGAGCAAAUCUCAGAAACGGCGUCCCAGUUCGGACUGUAGUCUGCAACCCGACUAUACGAAGCUGGAAUCGCUAGUAAUCGCGAAUCAGAAUGUCGCGGUGAAUACGUUCCCGGGUCUUGUACACACCGCCCGUCACACCAUGGGAGUCGAUAACGCCCGAAGCCGGUGACCUAACGCAAGAAGGAGCCGUCGAAGGCGGGAUUGGUAACUGGGGUGAAAUCGUAACAAGGUGUUCCU
rnacentral:rRNA from 1 species